CCUACGGGUGACUGCAGUGAGGAAUAUUGGUCAAUGGGCGGGAGCCUGAACCAGCCAAGUCGCGUGAGGGAAGACGGUCCUAUGGAUUGUAAACCUCUUUAGGCGGGGAGCAAUGCCGGGCACGUGUGCCCGGAUGGAGAGUACCCGCAGAAUAAGCAUCGGCUAACUCCGUGCCAGCAGCCGCGGUAAUACGUAGGAUGCGAGCGUUAUCCGGAUUUAUUGGGUUAAAAGGGUGCGUAGGCGGAUUUUUAAGUCAGCGGUAAAAUGUCCGGGCUCAACCCGGGCCGGCCGUUGAAACUGGGGAGCUUGAGUGUGCGAGAAGUAGGCGGAAUGCGUGGUGUAGCGGUGAAAUGCAUAGAUAUCACGCAGAACUCCGAUUGCGAAGGCAGCACACCGGCGACCGACUGACGCUGAGGCACGAAAGCGUGGGGAUCGAACAGGAUUAGAUACCCCGGUAGUC
rnacentral:rRNA from 1 species